rnacentral:rRNA from 1 species
CCUACGGGUGGCUGCAGUGGGGGAUAUUGCACAAUGGAGGAAACUCUGAUGCAGCGACGCCGCGUGAGGGAAGAAGGUCUUCGGAUUGUAAACCUCUGUCUUUGGGGAAGAACAUGACGGUCCCCAAAGAGGAAGCUCCGGCUAACUACGUGCCAGCAGCCGCGGUAAUACGUCGGGAGCGAGCGUUGUCCAGAAUUACUGGGUGUAAAGGGAGCGUAGGCGGGCGAGAAAGUUGAAUGUUAAAUCUACCGGCUUAACUGGGAGCUGCGUUCAAAACUUCUUGUCUUGAGUGAAGUAGAGGCAGGCGGAAUUCCGAGUGUAGCGGUGAAAUGCGUAGAUAUUAGGAGGAACACCAGUGGCGAAGGCGGCCUGCUGGGCGUGAACGGACGCUGAGGCUCGAAAGCGUGGGGAGCAAACAGGAUUAGAUACCCUUGUAGUC